UAUUCGAAUUUCCUUUCCCAUCGAGUGUAAACAGCCCAGCCACAAGGUGUUCUGCCAUAGCAAGUGAAGGGUGAUUUUGUAGUGGAUGGAGUUGGUGAUGUCUGAAAAAACAUUGAAACACGUGACAAAUUAGCUGAUCCAUGAAGAUAUCCAUAUCAGCCACCUUGAACUUCGCCAGUCUCCCAAGUCAUGAAUUCAAGCGACAAAUUAUGCUACAAAGAAGAUAAUGCAUGGGAAUCGAUGCCAAGAUGAUGAAAAUUGAAGAUGAACUUUUUUCUGAUAUACGAUACCUACCUUUUCUUCAUCAACCUUCAGCAGCUAAAAUGUUGUCCACAGUAGUUAGAAAUUGAAAGAGGAAGAAUGUGUAAAAAUGUACGCCAUGAGCAUUAUAAUUCCUCCAUCCUCCACAGGGAAACUUUUAUCAUACCUAUUUCAAAGUUAUAAUUGGUCAUAAGCUUUGCUAAAAAAUUUAAGGGUAUGUUUUGUAAACGAUUUUUUUCUCUCUCUAUCUCAAAUAAGAUGUAAUGAUCGAAAUUUAAUAAUGUUGUCAUUCUAUUUCAUAUGUAAGAAAAACGAAUUUGACCAUAUUUAUACCUUGUAACUUUGCCUACCCUUAUUCUGUUUACCUGGAUUAUCAAGUAUUUUUGUUUCAAUUACAUUUAUUUAUCAUAAAAAUUAAGGGUAUGGUCUUAAAUAUUGUUUAAUGUAUUUCUGCUAAAAAGUGUUUGUUCAAUUCAAAUAAUUCAUUUAUAGUAUUCCAUAAGAAUUUCAUUAAAUUUAUAUAUACCUCAUCAGUAGGCAGGUAAUCAGGUAUGUUGAUUGGUUCGUAAUUUUAUUCAAAAUGUACGCCAAGUAAAUCAGUUUUAUCAUCAAAACUAUGUAAAAAUGUUCGAUUAUUGAUUUAAUUUCGUAUAUGUAAUAUUAGGCAAAAAAACACACAGGCACGAAAAAGGAUGUUAAAGAUUAAUUUUGUAUUAGGUAUUGUCAUUUAAAUAACUACCAAAAUAUCAAAUAUGUACUCAAAUCUUUUCAGUUUCCGAAUGAAAAAUUUUCAUCAUUCAGCUUCCAUUAUAGGUAGGUAUACCUGAGCUUGAUUUUUUAAAAAUCAGUUAUAAAAAAUAUAAUAAUUAUUUUGUAAUAAAAAGUGGUCAAGUGAAAAAA